rnacentral:piRNA from 1 species
AUGACCUUGAACUGCUGAUCUUCCUGCCU